UACGUAGGGGGCUAGCGUUGUCCGGAAUCAUUGGGCGUAAAGCGCGUGUAGGCGGUCCGGUAAGUCCGCUGUGAAAGUCGGGGGCUCAACCCUCGGAUGCCGGUGGAUACUGUCGGGCUUGAGUACGGAAGAGGCGAGUGGAAUUCCUGGUGUAGCGGUGAAAUGCGUAGAUAUCGGAAGGAACAUCAGUGGCGAAAGCGACUUCCUGGACCAGUACCGACGUUCAGGCACGAAAGCGUGGGGAGCAAACAGG
rnacentral:rRNA from 1 species